GGGGGAUUUUAAGAAAGAAGCUGCCUGAGUAAAACUGCUUUAAGAACCGGUGGUUGGCAAGUGGUGCCGAAGAAACCCGGGACCCCCACCAAAGAGGUUCAGAACUUUCUGCAAUCAGGGUCUGUCAACAGGAUGAGUACGGUGGGAAUGCUGAAGCACUCAGACUUUUGGACAGAAAAACAAGGACAGGAACAACAGAUUAUCACAAGUUCCCCAAUUCCCUAGUGAGAGGCAGCGAUUGUGAAAAGCACCCAGUCUCAAGGACAAAGAAACAACUGGUUUAUCAGAGAUUUGAAGUUCACACCAUACAGAUUUUUCUGUUGCUUGGUUAGAGUCACACCAAGAUUGUUUAUUUAGUUGAUUAUGUUGAUGGAUUUCUGUAUAUUAAACCAUCCCUGCAUUCCUGAGAUAAACUUGCUUGAUCAGGAUGGAUGAUCAUUUUGAUGUAUUCUUGGUUUCGGUUUGCGAAAAUUUUAUUGAGUAUUUUUGCAUCGAUAUUCAUAAGGAAUAUUGAUCUGAAAUUCUCUUUCAAAAAACCAAAACCAACCAACCAAACAACAACAACAAAAAUGCUGAGAUGAACUACAAGACCCAAGAGACUCACAAGGUGAAACUAAUGAAUGACAAUAAACAGGGUCAAUUGCUAAAGGAGAAGAAUCACUGUGGAUGAUGAACUGAUGGCUGUACUGUAAAUAAUAUACAAUUCAUAUAGUAGCAUCUUCAGACAAGUGAGAAACACACUAAACCUGAAAUCAAAUGAUGAAUCAAGAAGCAGAAAAAGAAAUGCAUCAAGCUAAAAAUUAAAUGACUCGCACAAAUGCAAUUUGGCAAUUGUUGAAGGACAGAUUUGGAGGAAUGUUCUCAAAUUAUGAAAGUUGUGUUGUUUAGAAAAGAAGUAGAAAAUCUCUCUGGGAAAUAUUUUCUAAAUAUUUCUUAUCUUUUCUGUGAAGAUCUAUGCUUGUAAAUCGAAUUGAAUGUUUUCGUGACUUAAACCUAGGUCAAGAUGGUUGUAAAUCCAUUUCUGACUCUACAAUAAAGUUUAUUAUGUC
ensembl:lincRNA